AACGCACAUUGCGCCUCUUGGUAUUCCGAGGGGCAUGUCUGUUUGAGCGUCAGUACCCACUCUCUUUCACGGAGGUCUUGAAGGCUUGAACCCUUCCAAAGUGGACGCUUACGAGCUCAUGCCCAACGAAACGUAGUAAAUCUUCUCGUUUUGACCCGGCGGAAGGCUCUGUCAAAUAACCAGUAUUUUUGACCUCAGAUCAGACAAGGAUACCCGCUGAACUUAA
rnacentral:misc_RNA from 1 species